GUGCCAGCCGCCGCGGUAAUACGGAGGCUGCAAGCGUUGUCCGGAAUCAUUGGGCGUAAAGGGUCCUGAGGUGGUUUGCUCAGUCCACUGUGAAAGUUCAGGGCUUACCCUUGAAAAUGCGGUGGAAACUAGUAGGCUAGAGUACGGUGGGGGCAGAGGGAAUUCCCGAUGUAGCGGUGAAAUGCAUAGAUAUCGGGAAGAACACCGAUGGCGAAGGCACUUUGCUGGGCCGACACUGACACUGAAAGACGAAAGCUAGGGUAGCGAAAGGGAUUAGAUACCCCUGUAGUCC
rnacentral:rRNA from 1 species